rnacentral:rRNA from 1 species
UACGGGGGGUGCAAGCGUUGUUCGGAAUUACUGGGCGUAAAGCGCACGUAGGCGGAUUUGUAAGUCAAUUGUGAAAGCCUUGGGCUUAACCUGGGAAUGGCAGUUGAAACUGCAAACCUUGAAUACCUGAGAGGAUGACGGAAUUCCUGGUGUAGAAGUGAAAUUCGUAGAUAUCAGGAGGAACACCCGAGGCGAAGGCGGUUAUCUGGCAGUGUAUUGACGCUGAGGUGCGAAAGCGUGGGGAGCAAACAGG